CUGGGAACGUCUGGGGAGACUGCCGGUGAUAAACCGGAGGAAGGCGGGGAUGACGUCAAGUCCUCAUGGCCCUUACAUCCCGGGCUACACACGUGCUACAAUGGCAGGUACAGAGGGCUGCGAAGCCGCGAGGUGGAGCGAAUCCCAGAAAACCUGUCUCAGUCCGGAUUGAAGUCUGCAACUCGACUUCAUGAAGGCGGAAUCGCUAGUAACCGCGAAUCAGCAGGUCGCGGUGAAUACGUUCCCGGGCCUU
rnacentral:rRNA from 1 species